GUGGACAUAGCUCAAUGGCAGAGCACUAGACUGUGGAUCUAGUGGUUGCGGGUUCAAAUCCCGUUGUCCACC
rnacentral:tRNA from 1 species